ensembl:lncRNA
UCUCCUUCUUUAGUUAUCUCCCUUUCUCCUUCUUUAUCAUCUCCUCUCUCUCCUUCUUUAGUCGUCUCCCUCUCUCCUUCUUUAGUUAUCUCCCUCUCUCCUUAUUUAGUUAUCUCCCUCUCUCCUUCUUUAGUCGUCUCCCCCUCUCCUUCUUUAGUUAUCUCCCUUUCUCCUUCUUUAGUUAUCUCCCUCUCUCCUUCUUUAGUCGUCUCCCCCUCUCCUUCUUUAGUUAUCUCCCUCUCUCCUUAUUUAGUUGUCUCCCUCUCUCCCUCUCUCCUUCAUUUACUCUGUUGAACAGACAUACACAAAAUGCCUACACACAUUUCUAUAGCGAAAUGUACAUGUUUCGUACAUCAAAGGAAUGAGAAAAUAACAACAAUGAAUGUGUAAUAAACAACAAAACCAGAGGCAAAUCAACAGAGCUGGUUUCCCAUGGCAACGGGCGGGGAGCAGUAAUCUGAGAGCUGGUUUCCCACGGCAACGGGCGGGGAGCAGUAAUCUGAGAGCUGGUUUCCCAUGGCAAUGGGCGGGGAGCAGUAAUCUGAGAGCUGGUUUCCCAUGGC